rnacentral:rRNA from 1 species
GGACCCGCACAAGUAGUGGAGCAUGUGGUUUAAUUCGAAGAUACGCGCAGAACCUUACCAACACUUGACAUGUUCGUCGCGACUUUAAGAGAUUAAAGUUUUCGGUUCGGCCGGACGAAACACAGGUGCUGCAUGGCUGUCGUCAGCUCGUGUCGUGAGAUGUUGGUUAAGUCCCGCAACGAGCGCAACCCUUACUUUUAGUUGCCAUCAUUUAGUUGGGCACUCUGAAAGAACUGCCAGUGAUAAGCUGGAGGAAGGUGGGGAUGACGUCAAGUCCUCAUGGCCCUUACGUGUUGGGCUACACACGUGCUACAAUGGUAGUGACAAUGGGUUAAUCCCAAAAAGCUAUCUCAG